rfam:Triticum aestivum genome assembly, contig: Triticum_aestivum_CS42_TGACv1_scaffold_329725_4BS
CACGUACUCCCUCCGUCUAGAAAUACUUGUCGAAAAAAUGGAUAAAAAUGAAUGUAUCUAGAAGUGGAAUACGUCUACAUACAUCCAUUUCUCCGACAAGUAGUUCCGGAGGAAGGGAGUAUUUC